UACAGAGGGUGCGAGCGUUGUCCGGAAUCACUGGGCGUAAAGGGCGCGUAGGCGGUCCAGUAAGCGUGUGGUGAAAGCCCGGGGCUCAACCCCGGGUCGGCCGUGCGAACUGCGGGACUUGAGCACUGUAGAGGCAGGCGGAAUUCCGGGUGUAGCGGUGGAAUGCGUAGAGAUCCGGAAGAACACCGGUGGCGAAGGCGGCCUGCUGGGCAGUGGCUGACGCUGAGGCGCGACAGCGUGGGGAGCAAACAGG
rnacentral:rRNA from 1 species